rnacentral:antisense_RNA from 1 species
AGGAUUGCGUGAAGGUAAAUGCAAAUCAGCUCUGCCCAGCGCUUCCCACAGGAAGGUUUUCUGUAUGCGCGCCUGGUUUCCUCCGCCUUCAGCCAGAAUGCUGGCUUUAUUUUUGCGGUUUAUGAGCUUGAGAUAGGGAAUUCAUUUCCUUGAUAUAAUAUGACCCUCUAGAGAAAGUCUUGUCCAGAUAUAUUUUGCUCCCAAACGCCGCCCUAGAAGAAGGGCUAUACUGAAAUGAAACAGAGAUGAUUAAAGUCUGAUUUAUAGACUGUACAAGCCCUGAAAGCAAGAACGGGGUUCACGGCAUCUUGAUACCCCCAUGUGGGGACGUUUUGGCGAUUUUAUUUACAAGAAAGGGAUUUUACACCGGAGAGGCUUUUAAAUAUGCUAACAGACUGGACCAGCUUUCUCAUCCCCACUGGCUGAUUAAUGAUGCCUCCAUGCCAACCCCGUUCUCAGAGACGCCAAGGCCAGGUAAAAGCCACCCCUUCAUCCCCUAAACCUUGCAAGAAGCACAGGGUCCAGAAUUAUGCUUCUUUCAGGUUCUAAAUAGCACAAUAAAACUAAUAACAAUAAGCUUUUAGUUAUUGGAUCAGGUACAUUUUACCUUACAAUAAGCUUUUACUUAUUGGAUCAGGUACCUUUUAAAGCAAUUUUUGAACAUUAUUUCAUUAGAUCCUCACAACCACAGUAUGAGGUAGGUACUAUCAUUCCAUUUGAAGGAUGAGAAAACUGAGGCUCGAAGAUGUUAAAUAACUUGUUCAAGAUCACAGCUAGUCAGUGGACAUACCUGCCAUUCACUGAGUGCUUCCUGUGAGCCAGGCACGGUGACCAUCACAUUAAACCAAUUAUUUAUCUCAUGCAAUAGUGCCUUUGAUCCUUAGGAAGUGGCCUCCAGUGCUUAGAAUUCCAAGCAUUUGGUCCUCUGGAGAUGAGAAACUAUGGGAAGGCAGGGGCUUACUCACCCCUGUAUCCAAAAAGUUGAGGAUGGUGCCAAGGACAGAGAUAGUACCAGGGACUCCAAAAAUACUGAAUGAAAGGACAGUAGAAGUGCUUUCCUGUGGGAUCCCCCAACCUCUCCCUGCCUUCAGGUGAGUCCUGCUGAUGCUCAGGCUGCCCUUGGAACAGGGACCUUGGCCACAGUUUCCUUAUCUGUAGUAAUGGGAUGAGAAUUUCUCCUGCACAGGGUUGUUAGGGACCUAGUGAGGCAGCUUCUAUGGCUGCCUUUGGUGCUUAGUUUUCUCACUUUCUUCUUGAACAUGGGAGUGGGGAGACGGACACCUAAGGGUAUGACACUUGAAGAUUUCAGAAGGGGGCCUGCAGGUUUAUGUCCUCACUUGUUUUUACACCUCACAGAGGUCAGCGAAGCAGGGUAUCACCAAAGCCCCACCUGAUGUCUCUGGAAAUCGAGUACUCCAUGUCUUCACCAGGCCCAUGCCGGCCGUGAGGGGCAGAACCAGGUUUUCUGACACCAAACCCCAGAUUUCUUCCUGUGCUGGCAUGGGUCCUUUUUCUGACUUGGCCAGCAGCCUCUCAUAGAUGGGGGUCUGAUUAAAUAGUUCUGGUGAUGGAUGGAGUGAUGGUUGCACAACAAUAUGAAUGUAUUUAAUGCUACUGAACUGUACACCUGAAAAUGGUUAAAAUGCUACAUUUUAUGUUAUGAAUAUUUCACCACAAUAAAAAAAGAAAGAAAUA